rnacentral:rRNA from 1 species
UACGGGGGGAGCAAGCGUUGUUCGGAUUUACUGGGCGUAAAGGGCGCGUAGGCGGCGUGACAAGUCACUUGUGAAAUCUCCGGGCUUUAACUCGGAACGGUCAAGUGAUACUGUCGUGCUAGAGUGCAGAAGGGGCAAUCGGAAUUCUUGGUGUAGCGGUGAAAUGCGUAGAUAUCAAGAGGAACACCUGAGGCGAAGGCGGAUUGCUGGGCUGACACUGACUGAGGCGCGAAAGCUAGGGGAGCGAACGGG